AUAUAAAUAGGCUAAAUUUAAGCCUUUAAGCUCAUAACUUAACAAUAAAUUAAAAUUUUUUAUAUA
rnacentral:tRNA from 1 species